rnacentral:lncRNA from 13 species
UGAGAUUAGAGUUGAAAAGGGGAGAGAAAAGAGUACAACCAGCAAACAAAGCAAACAGCUGAAGCUGCACUGACAAAAUCUCAAGAGGAGAAAGGACUGAUGGAAGUUACAAAACAAGGAAACAAAGAUCCUGAGGAUGACCAUUCUGAGAACACUGGAAAUAUAACUUCUAUACCAAAAGGAAUGGUAAAAGAGCAGGUAGAGCUGAUAAACAAGCAGAAUGCAGAUCCAAAUAGGAAAUGGCAAACUGAACCAGCUGGAAGAAUUUUCUCUCAAACAAAAAUGACAGACACAGAGCAUGUACAGGACAAGCCCAACCCAGGCCAACAAGACCUAGUCACACCAGACCACACCCAGGCCCAACAAGACCUAGUCACAGCAGACCCCACCCCUGCCCAACAAGACCUAGUCACACCAGACCCCACCCCUGCCCAACAAGACCUAGUCACACCAGACCCCACCCCUGCCCAACAAGACCUAGUCACAG